GAUGAACGCUAGCGGGAGGCUUAAUACAUGCAAGUCGAACGGCAGCAGGUCCUUCGGGACGCUGGCGAGUGGCGAACGGGUGAGUAACGCGUACACGAUCUGCCCAUAAGUCUGGGAUAG
rnacentral:rRNA from 1 species